rnacentral:rRNA from 1 species
CCUACGGGAGGCAGCAGUGGGGAAUAUUGCGCAAUGGGGGAAAGCCUGACGCAGCGACGCCGCGUGAGGGAUGAAGGUCUUCGGAUCGUAAACCCCUGUCGGCAGAGAAGAAAGGUCAGUGAGCUAAUCAACAGGGACUGGACGGUACCUGCAAAGGAAGCACCGGCAAACUCCGUGCCAGCAGCCGCGGUGAUACGGAGGGUGCGAGCGUUAGUCGGAAUCACUGGGCGUAAAGCGCUCGAAGGCGGCAUGUCAAGUCAAGGGUGAAAUCCCCUAGCUUAACGUGGGAACUGCCUUUGAAACUGUUAUACUGGAGUGUGUGAGAGGUAAGUGGAAUUCUUGGUGUAGGAGUGAAAUCCGUAGAUAUCUGGAGGAACACUCGUGGCGAAGGCGACCAUCUGGCACAUAACUGACGCUGAUGCGCGAAAGCGUGGGUAGCAAACAGGAUUAGAUACCCCAGUAGUC